rnacentral:rRNA from 1 species
GACGAACGCUGGCGGCGUGCUUAACACAUGCAAGUCGAACGGAAAGGCCCUUCGGGGUCCUCGAGUGGCGCACGGGUGAGUAACACGUGGGUGAUCUGCCCUGCACUUUGGGAUAAGCCUGGGAAACUGGGUCUAAUACCGAAUAGGACCGCGCGCUUCAUGGUGUGUGGUGGAAAGCUUUUGCGGUGUGGGAUGGGCCCGCGGCCUAUCAGCUUGUUGGUGGGGUAAUGGCCUACCAAGGCGACGACGGGUAGCCGGCCUGAGAGGGUGACCGGCCACACUGGGACUGAGAUACGGCCCAGACUCCUACGGGAGGCAGCAGUGGGGAAUAUUGCACAAUGGGCGCAAGCCUGAUGCAGCGACGCCGCGUGAGGGAUGACGGCCUUCGGGUUGUAAACCUCUUUCACCAGGGACGAAGCGCAAGUGACGGUACCUGGAGAAGAAGCACCGGCCAACUACGUG